rnacentral:rRNA from 1 species
GAACGCUAGCUACAGGCUUAACACAUGCAAGUCGAGGGGCAGCAUUUUAGUUUGCUUGCAAACUGAAGAAGGCGACCGGCGCACGGGUGAGUAACACGUAUCCAACCUGCCGAUAACUCCGGGAUAGCCUUUCGAAAGAAAGAUUAAUACCGGAUAGUAUACGAAUAUCGCAUGAUAUUUUUAUUAAAGAAUUUCGGUUAUCGAUGGGGAUGCGUUCCAUUAGUUUGUUGGCGGGGUAACGGCCCACCAAGACUACGAUGGAUAGGGGUUCUGAGAGGAAGGUCCCCCACAUUGGAACUGAGACACGGUCCAAACUCCUACGGGAGGCAGCAGUGAGGAAUAUUGGUCAAUGGGCGCGAGCCUGAACCAGCCAAGUAGCGUGAAGGAUGAAGGCUCUAUGGGUCGUAAACUUCUUUUAUAUGGGAAUAAAGUUUUCCACGUGUGGAAUUUUGUAUGUACCAUAUGAAUAAGGAUCGGCUAACUCCGUGCCAGCAGCCGCGGUAAUACGGAGGAUCCGAGCGUUAUCCGGAUUUAUUGGGUUUAAAGGGAGCGUAGGUGGAUUGUUAAGUCAGUUGUGAAAGUUUGCGGCUCAACCGUAAAAUUGCAGUUGAAACUGGCAGUCUUGAGUACAGUAGAGGUGGGCGGAAUUCGUGGUGUAGCGGUGAAAUGCUUAGAUAUCACGAAGAACUCCGAUUGCGAAGGCAGCUCACUAGACUGUCACUGACACUGAUGCUCGAAAGUGUGGGUAUCAAACAGGAUUAGAUACCCUGGUAGUCCACACAGUAAACGAUGAAUACUCGCUGUUUGCGAUAUACAGUAAGCGGCCAAGCGAAAGCAUUAAGUAUUCCACCUGGGGAGUACGCCGGCAACGGUGAAACUCAAAGGAAUUGACGGGGGCCCGCACAAGCGGAGGAACAUGUGGUUUAAUUCGAUGAUACGCGAGGAACCUUACCCGGGCUUAAAUUGCAACAGAAUAUAUUGGAAACAGUAUAGCCGUAAGGCUGUUGUGAAGGUGCUGCAUGGUUGUCGUCAGCUCGUGCCGUGAGGUGUCGGCUUAAGUGCCAUAACGAGCGCAACCCUUAUCUUUAGUUACUAACAGGUUAUGCUGAGGACUCUAGAGAGACUGCCGUCGUAAGAUGUGAGGAAGGUGGGGAUGACGUCAAAUCAGCACGGCCCUUACGUCCGGGGCUACACACGUGUUACAAUGGGGGGUACAGAAGGCGGCUACCUGGUGACAGGAUGCUAAUCCCAAAAACCUCUCUCAGUUCGGAUCGAAGUCUGCAACCCGACUUCGUGAAGCUGGAUUCGCUAGUAAUCGCGCAUCAGCCAUGGCGCGGUGAAUACGUUCCCGGGCCU